UCAGGCCUCUUUCUACCUU
rnacentral:miRNA from 1 species